rnacentral:tRNA from 1 species
AGGGGUGUAGCUCAACUGGUAGAGCAUCGGUCUCCAAAACCGGAGGCUGCGGGUUCAAGUCCUGCCACCCCUA